AAAGGUAGAUUUUCUUCUCCAGGUCGGAGGGGCGGUCCUACCUCAAAUGGAGGAGUUCAAGUAUCUCAGGAUCUUGUUCACGAGUGAGGGUAGGAUGGAGCGGGAGAUCGACAGGCGGAUCGGAGCGGCGUCGGCAGUGAUGCGGACGCUUAACCGAUCAGUCGUGGUGAAGAAAGAGCUGAGCCGUAAGGAGAGACUCUGGAUUUACCGGUCGAUCUACGUGCCGAUCCUCACCUAUGGUCAUGAACUUUGGGUAAUGACCGAAAGAACAAGAUCGUG